ensembl:rRNA 5S_rRNA 5S ribosomal RNA
GCUUACGGCCACACCGGCCUGAGUACGCCUGAUCUCGUCCGAUCUCGGAGCUAAGCAGGGUCGGGCCUGGUUAGUACUUGGAUGGGAGACCGCCUGGGAAUACCAGGUGCUGUAAGCU